CCGAGUUAGGGUCCCUCCCACGGGGCCCGACCUCCCAACCCCGUGUCUAAUAAACCUGUACGUGUUGCUUCGGCGGACCGGUUCGCUGCGUGGUCUCACGACCACAACGCCUGCCGCCGGGGGAAAAGGAGUUCACCCUCCCCCCCCCUGGAGAGCGUCCGUCGAUGGCCCAACCAAACAAACUCCCAAACCAAAAUGUAUGUGAAACACAAUUCUGAAUCAGACCUUUUGAUAUACCAAUCAAAAACA
rnacentral:misc_RNA from 1 species